AACGAACGCUGGCGGCAUGCCUAACACAUGCAAGUCGAACGAGACCUUCGGGUCUAGUGUCGCACGGGUGCGUAACGCGUGGGAACCUGCCCUUAGGCUCGGAAUAACUCCCCGAAAGGGGUGCUAAUACCGGAUAAUGUCUUCGGACCAAAGAUUUAUCGCCUUUGGAUGGGCCGGCGUUGGAUUAGCUAGUUGGUAGGGUAAAAGCCUACCAAGGCGACGAUCCAUAGCUGGUCUGAGAGGAUGAUCAGCCGCACUGGGACUGAGACACGGCCCAGACUCCUACGGAAGGCAGCAGUGGGGAAUAUUGGACAAUGGGCGGAAGCCUGAUCCAGCAAUGCCGCGUGAGUGAUGAAGGCCUUAGGGUUGUAAAGCGCUUUUACCCGGGAUGAUAAUGACAGUACCGGGAGAAUAAGCUCCGGCUAACUCCGUG
rnacentral:rRNA from 1 species